UUUAGGGUUUGUCUUUGAGGAAGAGAACGUGAAGAGGAGAAGAGCUCUACUUCGUUAGAUCUUCAAAAGCUUGGAAAAUUGUUUAAGUUUGUAAAUCUGAGAUGGAGAGAGAUUUCUUGGGUUUGAAUGCAAAGGAAUCGUCGCCGGCGGUGAAGGAGGAGAGCAAGGAGGGAUCGAAAGAUUCUGCUUUCACUAGGGGUUCA